UUUCGAAUCAUUCACAAUGGGCGAAAGCCUGAUGGUGCGACGCCGCGUGAGGGAUGAAGGUCUUCGGAUUGUAAACCUCUGUCACUAGGGAAGAAACGCUGAAUCCUAAUACGAUUCGGUCUGACUUAACCUGGAGAGGAAGCAGUGGCUAACUCUGUGCCAGCAGCCGCGGUAAUACAGAGACUGCAAGCGUUAUUCGGAUUCACUGGGCGUAAAGGGUGCGCAGGCGGCCGUGUGUGUCAGAUGUGAAAUCCCGGGGCUUAACCCCGGAACUGCGUCUGAAACUACACGGCUAGAGCAUUGGAGAGGGAAGUGGAAUUCAUGGUGUAGCAGUGAAAUGCGUAGAUAUCAUGAGGAACACCAGAGGCGAAGGCGACUUCCUGGACAAUUGCUGACGCUCAGGCACGAAAGCGUGGGUAGCAAAAGGG
rnacentral:rRNA from 1 species